UAUAAACUUGAACAGGUUGUUGCUGGCCCUCUUGGAGAGCAUGUGCACGCUUGUCAUCUUUAUUUCUCCAACUGUGCACACAUUGUAGACCUGGAGGGGCUUUUUCGAAAUAUUUUUCGAGUAGAGGGACUGCUGUGCUUUUGUAAAAUUCAUAUAUAUAAGAGUCGGCUUUCCCUUGUAUUUUUCAGGUCUAUGUCAUUAUCACAAACCUAUGAAUCUGUUUAGAAU
rnacentral:misc_RNA from 1 species